UGGGGAAUAUUGCACAAUGGGCGAAAGCCUGAUGCAGCAACGCCGCGUGAGUGAUGAAGGCCUUCGGGUUGUAAAGCUCUGUCUUUUGGGACGAUAAUGACGGUACCAAAGGAGGAAGCCACGGCUAACUACGUGCCAGCAGCCGCGGUAAUACGUAGGUGGCAAGCGUUGUCCGGAUUUACUGGGCGUAAAGGAUGCGUAGGCGGAUUUUUAAGUGAGAUGUGAAAUACCCGGGCUUAACUUGGGUGCUGCAUUUCAAACUGGGAAUCUAGAGUGCGGGAGAGGAGAAUGGAAUUCCUAGUGUAGCGGUGAAAUGCGUAGAGAUUAGGAAGAACACCAGUGGCGAAGGCGAUUCUCUGGACCGUAACUGACGCUGAGGCAUGAAAGCGUGGGUAGCAAACAGGAUUAGAUACCCUGGUAGUCCACGCCGUAAACGAUGAGUACUAGGUGUAGGAGGUAUCGACCCCUCUGUGCCGCAGUUAACACAAUAAGUACUCCGCCUGGGAAGUACGAUCGCAAGAUUAAAA
rnacentral:rRNA from 1 species